rnacentral:SRP_RNA from 1 species
GCCAGGCGUGGUGGCUCAUGCCUGUAAUCCUAGCACUUUGGGAGGCUGAGGUGGGUGGAUCGCCUGAGCUCAGGAGCUCGAGACUAGCCUGGGCAACAUGGUGAAACCCCAUCUCUA